GACCUAAUGGUACAGUGGUUAAUGCGCCUGCUAAAGUUAGCCCAUUUGAUACAGGACAAGUGGGAGUCCCUCGUUCGAACCGGGGUUGGGUCA